rnacentral:rRNA from 1 species
AUUGAACGCUGGCGGCAGGCCUAACACAUGCAAGUCGAGCGGAGCGGAGGAAGGGCGAGUAAGGCCUAGGAAUCUGGCUGGUAGUGGGGGAUAAGGUCCGGAAACGGGCGAUAAUACAGCAUAAUAUCAGAUGAGACUAGGUGGGAGUAGCGAGUUGGUGGGGUAAAGGCGUACAAAGGCGACGAUCCGUAACUGGUUGGCGAGGAUGAUCAGUCACACUGGAACUUAGACACGGGCCAGACUCCUACGGGAGGCAGCAGUGGGGAAUAUUGGACAAUGGGCGAAAGCCUGAUGCAGCCAUGCCGCGUGUGUGAAGAAGGUCGUCGGGUUGUAAAGCACUUUCAGUUGGGAGGCGUUACUACCAGAAUAAGCACCGGCUAACUUCGUGCCAGCAGCCGCGGUAAUUC